rnacentral:rRNA from 1 species
UUGGGCCUACGGGACGCAGCAGUGAGGAAUAUUGGUCAAUGGACGAGAGUCUGAACCAGCCAGGUCGCGUGAGGGAAUAAGGCCCUACGGGUCGUAAACCUCUUUUGCCGGGGAGCAAGGGCGGGGACGUGUCCCGGCCCGGAGAGUACCCGGAGAAAAAGCCUCGGCUAACUCCGUGCCAGCAGCCGCGGUAAUACGGAGGAUGCGAGCGUUAUCCGGAUUUAUUGGGUUUAAAGGGUGCGUAGGCGGGCUUUUAAGGCAGCGGUAAAAAUUCGGGGCGCAACCCCGGCCGGCCGUUG